rnacentral:tRNA from 1 species
GUAUUGGUGGUUCAGUGGUAGGAUUCUCGCCUGUCACGCGGGAGGUUCGAGUUUGAGUCCCGGCCAGUCCA